rnacentral:rRNA from 1 species
GGAUUAGUGGCGAACGGGUGAGUAACACGUGAGUAACCUGCCCUUCACUCUGGGAUAACCCUGGGAAACUGGGUCUAAUACUGGAUAUGACGGCGCACUGCAUGG